rnacentral:rRNA from 1 species
AUUGAACGCUGGCGGCAUGCUUUACACAUGCAAGUCGAACGGCAGCGCGGGCUUCGGCCUGGCGGCGAAUGGCGAACGGGUGAGUAAUGCAUCGGAACGUGCCCAGUAGUGGGGGAUAGCCCGGCGAAAGCCGGAUUAAUACCGCAUACGACCUGAGGGUGAAAGCGGGGGACCGAAAGGCCUCGCGCUAUUGGAGCGGCCGAUGUCGGAUUAGCUAGUUGGUGGGGUAAAGGCUUACCAAGGCGACGAUCCGUAGCUGGUCUGAGAGGACGACCAGCCACACUGGGACUGAGACACGGCCCAGACGCCUACGGGAGGCAGCAGUGGGGAAUUUUGGACAAUGGGGGCAACCCUGAUCCAGCCAUGCCGCGUGCGGGAAGAAGGCCUUCGGGUUGUAAACCGCUUUUGUUCGGGAAGAAAUCCUCUGGGCUAAUACCCCGGGGGGAUGACGGUACCGGAAGAAUAAGCACCGGCUAACUACGUG